GACGAACGCUGGCGGCGUGCUUAACACAUGCAAGUCGAACGGAAAGGCCCUGCUUUUGUGGGGUGCUCGAGUGGCGAACGGGUGAGUAACACGUGAGUAACCUGCCCUUGACUUUGGGAUAACUUCAGGAAACUGGGGCUAAUACCGGAUAGGAGCUCCUGCUGCAUGGUGGGGGUUGGAAAGUUUCGGCGGUUGGGGAUGGACUCGCGGCUUAUCAGCUUGUUGGUGGGGUAGUGGCUUACCAAGGCUUUGACGGGUAGCCGGCCUGAGAGGGUGACCGGCCACAUGGGGACUGAGGUACGGCCCAGACGCCUACGGGAGGCAGCAGUGGCGAAUAUUGCACAAUGGGCGGAAGCCUGUUGCAGCAGCGCCGCGUGCGGGAUGACGGCCUUCGGGUUGUAAACCGCUUUCGCCUGUGACGAAGCGUGAGUGACGGUAAUGGGUAAAGAAGCACCGGCUAACUACGUG
rnacentral:rRNA from 1 species